rnacentral:rRNA from 1 species
CAAUAGCGUAUAUUAAAGUUGUUGCAGUUAAAAAGCUCGUAGUUGGACCUUGGACCUGGACAGGCGUUCCGCCUCACGGCGAGUACUGUCUUGCUGGGUCUUUCCUCUUGGUGAUCUGUUGUUUCGGCAGCAGGGAACCAGGACCUUUACUUUGAAAAAAUUAGAGUGUUCAAAGCAGGCUCGACGCCGGAAUAUAUUAGCAUGGAAUAAUAAAAUAGGACGUGCGGUUCUAUUUUGUUGGUUUUUGGAAUCGCCGUAAUGAUAAAUAGGGAUAGUCGGGGGCAUUAGUACUCACAUGCUAGAGGUGAAAUUCUUGGAUUUUGUGAAGACUAACUUCUGCGAAAGCAUUUGCCAAGGAUGUUUUCAUUAA